rnacentral:rRNA from 1 species
GAUGAACGCUAGCUAUAGGCUUAAUACAUGCAAGUCGAGGGGCAGCAUGAACUUAGCUUGCUAAGUUUGAUGGCGACCGGCGCACGGGUGAGUAACACGUAUCCAACCUGCCGAUGACUCGGGGAUAGCCUUUCGAAAGAAAGAUUAAUACCCGAUGGCAUAGUUCUUCCGCAUGGUAGAACUAUUAAAGAAUUUCGGUUAUCGAUGGGGAUGCGUUCCAUUAGGCAGUUGGUGAGGUAACGGCUCACCAAACCUUCGAUGGAUAGGGGUUCGUUGAGAGGAAGGUCCCCCCGACCAUUGGUACUGAGACACGGACCAA